UACGAAGGGGGCUAGCGUUGCUCGGAAUUACUGGGCGUAAAGGGCGCGUAGGCGGUUGUCUAAGUCAGAGGUAAAAGCCCAGGGCUCAACCUUGGAACUGCCUUUGAUACUGGACAUCUUGAGUACGGGAGAGGUGAGUGGAACUCCGAGUGUAGAGGUGAAACUCGUAGAUAUUCGAAAGAACACCAGUGGCGAAGGCGACUCACUGGCCCGUUACUGACGCUGUGGCGCGAAAGCGUGGGGAGCAAACAGG
rnacentral:rRNA from 1 species